GGACUACCGGGGUAUCUAAUCCUGUUUGCUCCCCACGCUGUCGCGCAUCAGUGUCAGUUGUGGCCCAGCCAACCGCCUUCGCCACCGGUGUUCUUCCGGAUCUCUACGCAUUCCACCGCUACACCCGGAAUUCCAUUGGCCUCUACCACACUCAAGCACGGGAGUAUCACCGGCCGACUCAGGGUUGAGCCCUGAGCUUUCACCGCCGACUACCCGCGCCACCUACGCGCCCUUUACGCCCAGUGAUUCCGGACAACGCUCGCACCCUCCGUAUUACCGCGGCUGCUGGCAC
rnacentral:rRNA from 1 species